rnacentral:rRNA from 1 species
UGUGCCUACGGGAGGCAGCAGUGGGGAAUAUUGCACAAUGGGGGAAACCCUGAUGCAGCGACGCCGCGUGGGCGACGAAGCGCUCCGGCGCGUAAAGCCCUGUCAGCAGGGAAGAACAAAGACAGUACCUGACCAAGAAGCCCCGGCUAACUACGUGCCAGCAGCCGCGGUAAUACGUAGGGGGCAAGCGUUAUCCGGAUUUACUGGGUGUAAAGGGGGCGCAGCCGGCAGCGCAAGCCAGGAGUGAAAGCCCGGGGCCCAACCCCGGGACUGCUCUUGGAACUGCGCGGCUGGAGUGCAGGAGG